rnacentral:lncRNA from 1 species
AUAACCAAAAAAUAAUAAUCUUAGCUUAAAAAUGUCUCUGUUUUCAAGUAUUUUCAGCUGCUUCUUCAUCCAAACCUCUUCUUCUUCCUGGCGGAUAAACGAUAUUAGUGUAUCCUCUGCAAAUCCACCUUCUUUAAUGGAGAGAUCCGAAUUAAGCAAGGCGAAAUCGAAAGGGGCACCGAUAAUAGUUUCUUUUUUUCCCGUUGGCUCAAAUCUCUCGCGAUUAUAGAGUACUUACAUUGGAUUGUCGAUCAGUUGUAUUUCCGGCUUAAUUCUGGAUGGUAACAUCUUUGAAGAUGAGCUUAAUUUUCUAGCAAAAAUCAAGGCGAAAAUGCAGCGUGUUCUUCUUAAUGAAAAAUUCCGCCUCACAUGAAUAGUAAAUAAGAGUCAUCGUUUAGUGCGUUCUUGUUGAUGAAAAAGCUUGCUCGGAGAGGAGAUGGUCUGUGAUGGAAGCCAAAAAUUAAAGACUGAAAAAAGGCAUAUAUUGUCGUCCUACUCUCUUUGUUUCGUGCCAUGGAUAUUGUAUUCGAUCUGUUGUUUAAGUGGCUUAAUUUGCUACGGCCUCGUACUUUCAUGUUAAAUUAUCAAAUAAUUAGUGCUCCCUCGUGUUGUUGUGUUUCAUUCUUGUGGUGCUAUGCUAUGCGAUAGACACGUAAUUCAUAUAUUUUACUAUCCUUAAUUUUAUCCUUUUAAUUAUAUUAGUUUAUUAAAUUAAUAUGUUUUAUUUUAUUUUGUAAGAUUUAAUGUUUGUUGCAAUGAAGUCAAAAUAUUGGUGAUCAAGGGAUAUUUAAUGCUUUUAUUCAUAUAAGAAUAUCCAAGAAGAAUCCUACAAGGUGUAGGAAAGAGGUUGAACAAUCUUGGUGUACAAGUCAAAUCCAACAAGAGAAGGGAAAGAAUAUCUAGAAGAUCUUUUUGAGAAGUUGAUUGGAAACAAAACUGUCCAAGUUCAAUGAAUGUAAAUUAGGGUUCAAAGUUAUUUUCCCUAUAAAUAGGCAUCUUGUAUUAGAGAGAAGGAGAUCACUUGUUAUUUUAUUUUUCUUAGUUUUUCACUAGUGUAGGAGGGAGAAGAUAUUUAGAGUUUGUCUCUCUUAUUCCAAUCACGUGUGGAACAUACUGUCCGGGAGUAUUUAUAAUUUUCUUUUUAUUUAUAUAAUAGAAAUUCUCUUUUUAAUUAUUGUUCUUAUUUCAUGCA